rnacentral:rRNA from 1 species
UGAGGAAUAUUGGUCAAUGAGCGGGAGCCUGAACCAGCCAAGCCGCGUGAGGGAUGAAGGCCCUAUGGGUCGUAAACCUCUUUUGUCAGGGAACAAAAGCGAGUAUGUAUACUAGUCUGAGUGUACCUGAAGAAAAAGCAUCGGCUAACUCCGUGCCAGCAGCCGCGGUAAUACGGAGGAUGCGAGCGUUAUCCGGAUUUAUUGGGUUUAAAGGGUGCGUAGGCGGCGAUGCAAGUCAGCGGUAAAAGCCCGGGGCUCAACCCCGGCGAGCCGUUGAAACUGCAGUGCUAGAGAAGGCGAGAGGUACGCGGAAUGCGCAGUGUAGCGGUGAAAUGCUUAGAUAUUGCGCAGAACUCCGAUUGCGAAGGCAGCGUACUGGCGCCUGACUGACGCUGAGGCACGAAAGCGUGGGGGAUCGAACAGGAUUAGAUACC